CCUACGGGUCGCACCAGUGGGGAAUUUUCCGCAAUGGGCGAAAGCCUGACGGAGCAAUGCCGCGUGGAGGUGGAAGGCCUACGGGUCGUCAACUUCUUUUCUCGGAGAAGAAACAAUGACGGUAUCUGAGGAAUAAGCAUCGGCUAACUCUGUGCCAGCAGCUGCGGUAAGACAGAGGAUGCGAGCGUUAUCCGGAAUGAUUGGGCGUAAAGCGUCUGUAGGUGGCUUUCAAGUCCGCCGUCAAAUCCCAGGGCUCAACCCUGGACUGGCGGUGGAAACUACCAAGCUGGAGUACGGUAGGGGCAGAGGGAAUUUCCGGUGGAGCGGUGAAAUGCAUUGAGAUCGGAAAGAACACCAGCGGCGAAAGCACUCUGCUGGGCCGACACUGACACUGAGAGACGAAAGCUAGGGGAGCAAAUGGGAUUAGAUACCCUAGUAGUC
rnacentral:rRNA from 1 species